GGAGACUGCAGCAGCAUAAGCUCCCGCUGACCAAGGCCACUGCCCAGCGACCUGCUCCCACCUAUCUGCCACAAAGGCCAAAGCUCAGCUUCCAAUGUGGCUCGUUCCUGGAGGAGGCCAGCUGACCGCUUGGUGGCAAAUAGGCCACACUGAGCUCCUUCCAUCCUGGAAAGGCCAGCAGCUCACUUGGAGGGGAAGAUAUUCCAAGCCUGGGUUUGCCUUUCCCACCCGCCUACCCAACCUCCACCAGCAACACGGUCUGCGAUCUCCCCUGUGUUUCAUCCCCUGACUCGGGCCCCCUCUGACCAUCACAGCAGAGGAGGUGGGGCAGGCCCACAAGCACAGGCCUCGGGCCAGAUCACACGACACCCACUCGGAAACUGGAGUCAACAGAGAGCCGCAGCUGCUCGUACCGGGCAAGUCUCUGCGGGGUGGGACCCUGUCCCAGGACGCAGGAUUGGCGCUGAGCUCGGGAUCUCUGUGUGCACCUGCAUCGCUGGUAGGAGGACGCCCAGGAACCAAGGAGUGAGGCAGGAGCAGCCCCCGGCAUCAUCACUCCCAGUGACCCAGGAAGGGAUUUGUGCUUUUUUCCCUGCGGCUCUGGGCACUGCAGAGUUAGAGGUCCUGGUCCCCGGGGAUGGAGGGAGGGGGUAUAUCAGCGGGCACAGAGCAUGUCCAGUGACGCACAAACCACGGCUGCCCUCUGGUGCGUCGGGUUCCUUGUGGGGGGAUCACCAGGCAGGAGAGAGCACCACCGUCCUGGCAGAUCUGGAAACUGGACGGCCCCAAACUGAGUCCAAGUCCUGCAUCUGCCAGUCGUGUGAACUUGGGUGAGUGACUUAGCCUCGCUGUGUCUCAGUUUCCUUAUCAGGAAAAUCUAGCCAUUCACCACCCCUUCCUCAGUGGGCUGCUGUGGGGACUGGAGUUAGCAUGUGCACGGGCAAUGCUAACAGGCACAUACAAAGCACCAAGCAAGCGUGAGCUUUGGGUACUUUUUAUCACCGUAUAGACCAGGCGCUGAGACCCAGAGAGGCCAGCGACUUUCCCAACGCUGCGCAGUGAGCCAGGUGCAGGGCUGGGUGGGUCUUGGGUGCCCGGUUCCAGGGCGGCUGCUGGGCCAGGACUGCAGGAUGCUGGAGGAGAAAGAGUCCUGAGGUCCCCAGCUGCCUUCUGGGGCUGACAGGCCUGUUCCUUGGCCUGGAGAAUUCCUCUGAGAAGAGCGAGCAGCUCAGUGAGGACACAUGAGGCCACCCAGGCCAGGAGGGGACUUCAAAGCCAUGGACAGCUCACAAUCCCCAGGCGGGGACAUGGGAGGCUUCCUUUCCAUUGCUGUUUGAUUUCAGCCUCCCAAUUAGCCAUGCCUAAGUAAUGCACUCAGGGCCGUAUCCAUUGUUUAUGAGAAUAAGCAGGCAUGAGAACGCCCUUCUCUCUGCAAGAAGAUGCCCGCCCUUACCAAGGUGACUUCCAAGGACUUCAGGAACCUGAAACCUCGUCCUUGAUCGACUCGUGGUGUUGAAGGCCCUGCCAAAGCCAGCCUGGCACUGCUCUCUGGGAUGGAGACGGGAGAUGGCAUUCCGGGUCUAAAUUCUCGUGGGUGGUUCUCAGCUGUCAGGAGGUGCCAGGCUUACCUGCCAGGACCGUGGUUUUCUGUCAUUGUAACUGUGGGAAUGGCUAAGUCCUGUCUAUGACAGUCACACGAAAUAAAGUGUUCUGUGCUCCAGG
rnacentral:lncRNA from 1 species